GGGAAACGCAUUCUUUUGCAGCGCUUAUUGCGCGGCGAAAACCUUACACACUAUGUUUUUUUAAUUUGAAACUAUUGCUUUGGUCUGGCUUAGAAAUAGGUUGGGCCAAAGGUUUUAUCAAAACUUCAAUAUUUAUUAUUGAAUUGUUAUUUUUAAUUUUAUGUCAAUUUGUUGAUUAAUAUCAAAAAUCUUCAAAACUUUCAACAACGGAUCUCUUGGUUCUCGCAUCGAUGAAGAACGCAGCGAAAUGCGAUAAGUAAUAUGAAUUGCAGAUUUUCGUGAAUCAUCGAAUCUUUGAACGCACAUUGCGCCCUUUGGUAUUCCAAAGGGCAUGCCUGUUUGAGCGUCAUUUCUCUCUCAAAUCUUCGGAUUUGGUUUUGAGUGAUACUCUUAGUCAGACUAAGCGUUUGCUUGAAAUGUAUUGGCAUGAGUGGUACUAGAUAGUGCUGAACUGUUUUCAAUGUAUUAGGUUUAUCCAACUCAUUGACCAGUAAAGUAUUUGUUUAUUACACAGGCUCGGCCUUACAACAACAAACAAAGUUUGACCUCAAAUCAGGUAGGACUACCCGCUGAACUUAAGCAUAUCAAUAAGGCGGGAGGAAA
rnacentral:rRNA from 1 species